CCUACGGGAGGCUGCAGUCGAGAAUCAUUCACAAUGGGGGAAACCCUGAUGGUGCGACGCCGCGUGGGGGAAUGAAGGUCUUCGGAUUGUAACCUCCUGUCAUGUGGGAGCAAAUUAAAAAUAUAGUACCACAAGAGGAAGACACUUCUAACUCUGUGCAAGCAGCCGGGGUAAUACAGAGGUCUCAAGCGUUUUUCGGAAUCACUGGGCGUAAAGCGUGCGUAGGCGGUUUAGUCAGUCGUGGGUGAAAGGCCCGGGCUCAACCCGCGGACGGCACCUGAUCCUGGGAGAAUCGAGUAAGGGAGGGGGAAGCGGAAUUCUCGGUGUAGGAGUGAAAGGCGUAGAUAUCGAGAGGAACACUCGUGGCGAAGGCGGGUUCCUGGACAUUAACUGACGCUGAGGAACGAAGGCGAGGGGAGCGAAAGGGAUUAGAUACCCCGGUAGUC
rnacentral:rRNA from 1 species